UACUCAGCUGUCAGGACCUGAUGAGGGCCA
rnacentral:piRNA from 1 species